rnacentral:SRP_RNA from 1 species
GCUGAAUGUGAUGGUACAUGCUUGUAAUCCUUGCUAGUGGCAAAGCUUAGCCUGGAUGAAUCUUUUGAGUUUGGAAGUUCUGAGCUGCAGUGGGCUAAGCCCACCAAGUGUCCACACUAUUUGGCAUUAAUAUGGUGAGUUCACAGGAAAGGAGGGGCCCCCAGUUGACUUAAGGAGGGGAGAUCCAGCCCAGAUUGGAAACAGAGCAGAUCAAUGCUUCUGUGCUGAUGUGAGUGGGACCAGCCCCAAUGAGUAGCACCUAUGCUUCCAGCCUGUGUUAGAUAAGGAGACUCAGUCUAUA